CCUACGGGUGGCAGCAGUCGAGAAUCAUUCACAAUGGGGGAAACCCUGAUGGUGCGACGCCGCGUGGGGGAAUGAAGGUCUUCGGAUUGUAAACCCCUGUCAUGUGGGAGCAAAUUAAAAAGAUCGUACCACAAGAGGAAGAGACGGCUAACUCUGUGCCAGCAGCCGCGGUAAUACAGAGGUCUCAAGCGUUGUUCGGAAUCACUGGGCGUAAAGCGUGCGUAGGCUGUUUCGUAAGUCGUGUGUGAAAGGCGCGGGCUCAACCCGCGGACGGCACAUGAUACUGCGAGACUAGAGUAAGGGAGGGGGAACCGGAAUUCUCGGUGUAGCAGUGAAAUGCGUAGAUAGCGAGAGGAACACUCGUGGCGAAGGCGGGUUCCUGGACAUUAACUGACGCUGAGGCACGAAGGCCAGGGGAGCGAAAGGGAUUAGAUACCCCAGUAGUC
rnacentral:rRNA from 1 species